AUUGAACGCUGGCGGCAUGCUUUACACAUGCAAGUCGAACGGCAGCGCGGGCUUCGGCCUGGUGGCGAGUGGCGAACGGGUGAGUAAUACAUCGGAACGUACCCAGUAGUGGGGGAUAGCCCGGCGAAAGCCGGGUUAAUACCGCAUAUGCUCUGAGGGGGAAAGCGGGGGACCGAAAGGCCUCGCGCUAUUGGAGUGGACGGUGGCGCAUUAGCUCGGGGGUGGGGUAAAGGCCUACCGAGGCGACGAUCAGUAGCUGGUCUGAGAGGACGACCAGCGACACUGGGACUGAGACACGGCCCAGACUCCUACGGGAGGCAGCAGUGGGGAAUUUUGGACAAUGGGCGAAAGCCUGAUCCAGCAAUGCCGCGUGUGCGAAGAAGGCCUUCGGGUUGUAAAGCACUUUUGUUUGGAAAGAAAAGGUUUGGGUUAAUACCCUGGACUGAUGACGGUACCAAUCGAAUAAGCACCGGCUAACUACGUGCCAGCCGCCGCGGUAA
rnacentral:rRNA from 1 species